UGAGUUUGAUCCUGGUUCAGGAUGAACGCUAGCGAUAGGCCUAACACAUGCAAGUCGAGGGGCAUCAUGGGGUAGCAAUACUCUGAUGGCGACCGGCGGAUGGGUGAGUAACACGUAUGCAACCUACCUACUACAUUGGGAUAACCCGUUGAAAGGCGGACUAAUACCUUAUAACACAGGGGCACCGCAUGGUGGUAUUUGUUAAAGAUUUUAUCGGUUGUAGAUGGGCAUGCGCAUGAUUAGCUAGUUGGAGAGGUAACGGCUCCCCAAGGCAACGAUCAUUAGGGGUUCUGAGAGGAAGGUCCCCCACACUGGUACUGAGACACGGUCCAGACUCCUACGGGAGGCAGCAGUGAGGAAUAUUGGUCAAUGGGCGAUAGCCUGAACCAGCCACGUCGCGUGCAGGAAGACUGUCUUAUGGAUUGUAAACUGCUUUUUCGGUAGAGUAAAAUACGUCACGUGUGAUGUAUUGCAAGUAUACCGUGAAUAAGGAUCGGCUAACUCCGUGCCAGCAGCCGCG
rnacentral:rRNA from 1 species